GGGGACUGACGGGGCGGAGCUGCUACCGCUCGCUCGCGCGCGCGGGAAACACCAGACUACGUUUAACCCUUUCAGAAUAUGGUCCUUGGGGAAAAUCAUCUACGGUUGAGGAUCUGGACCCACUGCGUUCACAUGCAGGACACUACUUAAAUAUUAACAGCCACUUAUUGGGCUUUAUCCUGGAAUACAAGGAAGAGCUGUUGGAUAUCACCGCUAUAAGGCUUUCUGCUGCCUGUGCAGGUGUCUUUAGUAACUAUUGGUCCUUGCAUCUGAAGGGGUUCUACUCGUGUUGCUGCAGUAUUUUUGGUGGCCCAGUUAUGUUCUUGUACAAUACACAGGCUAAGUCAGAAAAGAACCCAGUGAAAUCUGAAGGCACCAUAUGGAAUUUGACAUCUUCACGAGGUCUACAGAGAUUGUAGUUUUUUGAAAAGUUCUAGUGAAGGUUCCUAAUGAAGAUUUCCUCAAUAUAAAUCCCUGUCAAUGUCCCCAGAAGGGUUUACCGUCUUUCUCCACCACAUGGACUCCUCUCACCAAGCACAACAAAGUUGGUGCCCCAACACUUUCAAGCAUCUCGUGACCUCCUACGAUCUACAAUUCUUAAAGGUUCUCUCCAGAUUUCAGCAGAUCACCGUCCUUGAAAUUUUUGUACCUCCAUGAAUGAGUGAACGAGAUGUCUUGCGUCAUGGUCAACGGUGAGGUUGAGAAUUGGGUCUUUAGGUCUCGUAUUGCGGACAAAAGGUACAUUGGUCUAUAUACUAUUGCUGGUCCACAAUGGACACAAUGGUCAUCGAAAAAAGUGAUCGGGUCGUGUAAUUUCCAUAUCUUCUGAAUGGUUAAAGAGGACAUUACUUCCUAGUAAGAGUGCUUUGCCUUUAAGAAGGCACUUACUAGGUCUCUUUAUGGGGGUGCUCAAUGACAUUUCUCAAGAAUUCCAGAAGGCUGAAUGCUUGACUGGUCAGGGGUUACUAGAAUUCUGGUUUAGAUGUUGAAGCCACCACCAGUUUGGGAUGUCAUCUAUAUAUUAUUCAACUCCUGUAUUGGUCUUCAUUAUGUUCUACUGCAUGGACUUCUUUGAUAGUGACUGUUGAGAAUCAUGGUAUCUAAGGGUAUGUUCACGUUGAAGUGGUACCCACAUAGAAAUGUGUAGAACCUACUUGGUCUGCCUGAAAUCCACUUAGGAUUCAAACACCAUGAACAUCAGUGUUCCUCAUUCAGUCCCCAGACUUAGACAGUUUUUUACCAACCAGGGUGCCUCCAUCUGUUGCAAAACUACUCCCUGCACCCCACCGGACAGCCUUAGGCUGUCUUCGGGGGGGGGGAAGCUUAGAUAUGCAGCUUUCCAACAGAUGGACGCACCCUGGUUGGAAAUUGCUGACCUAAGUGUCAUUUAAGGGUAUCCUUAGAACUGUUAAGAUGGUAUCCUUGGUGUUACUAGAUAACUUUGUCCUAGAUGUUCGUUCCUCUAGGAGCUUCAAAACCUCUGGAGCUCCUAGAGAGGGGUCUAAAAUCCUUGAUUCGAAUGGGAAACAUAGGGGUACUGACUAUAUACUGUCCUAUUGUAAGUGUAACCAUUGUGGGGCAUCUAAAAGCAAGCAUUGCCCAGAACAAUUCCAUAGUGUUGCUGUACACCUUACAACCUGUUCUAGAAAUAGUGACGGAGCUUGAGAGGUGCCUGAUGCCAAGAUGAAGUUAACAAUGAAUUUACCACCACAGGUUCCAAAGCCUCACUGCUCGCACCGUAGGGAAUCCCUGUCUCUGGUGACACUUUCUCUAGAAUUGGUGUAUGCCCUUGUUGUUAUCAUAGAUCUAGGCAUAAUAAGGUGAUUGGGUAAAUCUCUGUACUGUACACUGAUCUAAUUGUACCUGCUGACUACUUUGUAAGCUUUCCUCUAACCUCAAUGUAACAAGUCCUCAGGUUUCCUGCAGCCACCACUGACUGCGUUGUAAUUUGUCCUUACAGUGACUUUGCAGGUUGUAAAUGGUGGCUCGGCCUGUCCUUACAUGUUCUAGAAGUUGAUGCUUAUACUUUCUGGCAGCAGGAUAUUUAAACUGGGCAUCUAACAAUUGUCCUACCUACUGUUUAUGUGCUUUGUAGUCCUUCCUGGUUUCGACCCCUUUUUUAGCUUGUUUUUUCAGUCCGACUUUGUCCCUGACGUCUCCGUGUGGUGCUGACCUGGUCUAUCUUACCUGACUCCGCAGCACAUAGUGAGUGUAGGGACCGUCGCCCAGUUUGGGGCCACCGUUUAGGGCGGAUCGUCCAAGUAGAUAGGGACAGGGGAUUGGGGAGAGCUCAGGGCAUCACUAUUCCCUACCAGAUGUGACAUUCAAUUUACUAUUUCUUGCUACCUUGUUACUGUGCUGUACCAGCUUUAUAUGCUGCUUAUACCCUAGUGUCAAGAACUGUGCGCAAUACUCACGAUUCCAUAAACAUUCGUUGUUAGACGGCAUAUUAAGUCAUCUGGAUCCCACAGUUUUCAUUGACUUGGCAGUAGCUACCUGGCACUGGUUACAGGAGACCAGAUAUGAUCAGAUCUUCAAGUCUGUGGUGUGUGUAGUGACAAUGUGUUAUGAAUGAUGUAAUGCAGUAGAACUGUUUUUUUAAUAGACACAGAAGGUUGACAACCCAUAGAUGACACGAGGGUUUGUGUUGUUCAUAUGGAAGUUUUUUGUGCUGCUAGGAUUGUUCCCAUUCUUUGGAUACCUAGAAUAUAGAAAGACUUCCAGUUCCAAAUGUUUAAAAAUCUAAAACUUUAUUGAAUGUCUUAAAAAAAAAAUAAAAAAAAUUGACUAUGCAUUUCAGACAGCGAACUGUCCUUAAAUUCCUUAAAUGGGU